GACGAACCGUGCUAACGUUGUUCGGAAUUACUGGGCGUAAAGGGCGCGUAGGCGGCCGCCUAAGUCAGACGUGAAAUCCCUCGGCUCAACCGGGGAACUGCGUCUGAUACUGGGUGGCUUGAAUCCGGGAGAGGGAUGCGGAAUUCCAGGUGUAGCGGUGAAAUGCGUAGAUAUCUGGAGGAAUACCGGUGGCGAAGGCGGCAUCCUGGACCGGCAUUGACGCUGAGUGAGCGAAAGCCAGGGGAGCAAACGGG
rnacentral:rRNA from 1 species